GGAUUAGAUACCCUGGUAGUCCACGCCGUAAACGAUGUCUACUAGCCGUUGGGGAACUUGUUUCCUUAGUGGUGCAGCUAACGCGAUAAGUAGACCGCCUGGGGAGUACGGCCGCAAGGUUAAAACUCAAAUGAAUUGACGGGGGCCCGCACAAGCGGUGGAGCAUGUGGUUUAAUUCGAUGCAACGCGAAGAACCUUACCAAGUCUUGACAUCCUGCGAAUUUUCUAGAGAUAGAUGAGUGCCUUCGGGAACGCAGUGACAGGUGCUGCAUGGCUGUCGUCAGCUCGUGCCG
rnacentral:rRNA from 1 species